rnacentral:rRNA from 1 species
GAUGAACGCUGGCGGCGUGCCUAAUACAUGCAAGUCGAGCGAACAGACGAGGAGCUUGCUCCUCUGACGUUAGCGGCGGACGGGUGAGUAACACGUGGAUAACCUACCUAUAAGACUGGGAUAACUUCGGGAAACCGGAGCUAAUACCGGAUAAUAUAUUGAACCGCAUGGUUCAAUGGUGAAAGACGGUUUUGCUGUCACUUAUAGAUGGAUCCGCGCCGCAUUAGCUAGUUGGUAAGGUAACGGCUUACCAAGGCAACGAUGCGUAGCCGACCUGAGAGGGUGAUCGGCCACACUGGAACUGAGACACGGUCCAGACUCCUACGGGAGGCAGCAGUAGGGAAUCUUCCGCAAUGGGCGAAAGCCUGACGGGGCAACGCCGCGUGAGUGAUGAAGGUCUUCGGAUCGUAAAACUCUGUUAUUAGGGAAGAACAAAUGUGUAAGUAACUAUGCACGUCUUGACGGUACCUAAUCAGAAAGCCACGGCUAACUACGUG